GUUGAUAUUCCUGUACCACCUAUAAUCGUUUUAAUCGAUGGGGGGACGCAGUAGGAUAGGCGAAGCGUGCGAUUGGAUUGCACGUCUAAGCAGUAAGGCUGAGUAUUAGGCAAAUCCGGUACUCGUUAAGGCUGAGCUGUGAUGGGGAGAAGACAUUGUGUCUUCGAGUCGUUGAUUUCACACUGCCGAGAAAAGCCUCUAGAUAGAAAAUAGGUGCCCGUACCGCAAACCGACACAGGUAGUCAAGAUGAGAAUUCUAAGGUGAGCGAGCGAACUCUCGUUAAGGAACUCGGCAAAAUGACCCCGUAACUUCGGGAGAAGGGGUGCUCUUUAGGGUUAACGCCCAGAAGAGCCGCAGUGAAUAGGCCCAAGCGACUGUUUAUCAAAAACACAGGUCUCUGCUAAACCGUAAGGUGAUGUAUAGGGGCUGACGCCUGCCCGGUGCUGGAAGGUUAAGAGGAGUGGUUAGCUUCUGCGAAGCUACGAAUCGAAGCCCCAGUAAACGGCGGCCGUAACUAUAACGGUCCUAAGGUAGCGAAAUUCCUUGUCGGGUAAGUUCCGACCCGCACGAAAGGCGUAACGAUUUGGGCACUGUCUCAACGAGAGACUCGGUGAAAUCAUAGUACCUGUGAAGAUGCAGGUUACCCGCGACAGGACGGAAAGACCCCGUGGAGCUUUACUGUAGCCUGAUAUUGAAAUUCGGCACAGCUUGUACAGGAUAGGUAGGAGCCUUUGAAACGUGAGCGCUAGCUUACGUGGAGGCGCUGGUGGGAUACUACCCUAGCUGUGUUGGCUUUCUAACCCGCACCACUUAUCGUGGUGGGAGACAGUGUCAGGCGGGCAGUUUGACUGGGGCGGUCGCCUCCUAAAAGGUAACGGAGGCGCUCAAAGGUUCCCUCAGAAUGGUUGGAAAUCAUUCAUAGAGUGUAAAGGCAUAAGGGAGCUUGACUGCGAGACCUACAAGUCGAGCAGGGUCGAAAGACGGACUUAGUGAUCCGGUGGUUCCGCAUGGAAGGGCCAUCGCUCAACGGAUAAAAGCUACCCCGGGGAUAACAGGCUUAUCUCCCCCAAGAGUUCACAUCGACGGGGAGGUUUGGCACCUCGAUGUCGGCUCAUCGCAUCCUGGGGCUGUAGUCGGUCCCAAGGGUUGGGCUGUUCGCCCAUUAAAGCGGUACGCGAGCUGGGUUCAGAACGUCGUGAGACAGUUCGGUCCCUAUCCGUCGUGGGCGUAGGAAAUUUGAGAGGAGCUGUCCUUAGUACGAGAGGACCGGGAUGGACAUACCUCUGGUGUACCAGUUGUCGUGCCAACGGCAUAGCUGGGUAGCUAUGUGUGGACGGGAUAAGUGCUGAAAGCAUCUAAGCAUGAAGCCCCCCUCAAGAUGAGAUUUCCCAACUUCGGUUAUAAGAUCCCUCAAAGAUGAUGAGGUUAAUAGGUUCGAGGUGGAAGCAUGGUGACAUGUGGAGCUGACGAAUACUAAUCGAUCGAAGACUUAAUCAA
rnacentral:rRNA from 1 species